rnacentral:rRNA from 1 species
GAUGAACGCUAGCUACAGGCUUAACACAUGCAAGUCGAGGGAAACGAUAGAGAAAGCUUGCUUUUUCUAGGCGUCGACCGGCGCGACGGGUGAGUAACGCGUAUCCAACCUGCCCACCACUUGGGGAUAACCUUGCGAAAGUAAGACUAAUACCCAAUGACGUCUCUAGAAGACAUCUGAAAGAGAUUAAAGAUUUAUCGGUGAUGGAUGGGGAUGCGUCUGAUUAGCUUGUUGGCGGGUAACGGCCCACCAAGGCGACGAUCAGUAGGGGUUCUGAGAGGAAGGUCCCCCACAUUGGAACUGAGACACGGUCCAAACUCCUACGGGAGGCAGCAGUGAGGAAUAUUGGUCAAUGGACGAGAGUCUGAACCAGCCAAGUAGCGUGCAGGAUGACGGCCCUAUGGGUUGUAAACUGCUUUUAUAAGGGAAUAAAGUGAGUCUCGUGAGACUUUUUGCAUGUACCUUAUGAAUAAGGACCGGCUAAUUCCGUG